AGGUAGGGUUUGAUGCGCCUUUCAUACGAAAUGUUGAUGAGAAUUACCCAAGUAGUCCAGGUAUGAGGCUGUGCGGAUAUAGUAAUCAUAAUUUUCAGUGGCAUCGGCAUGUUCUAAUAAAUAAGAUGGGAAGUUCAGAAUAAUGUAACAUCGGCAUGUUCUAAUAAAUAAAAUAAGAGAAGGUUGGGUAUACUGAAGCAGACCCCUUAUAACGGUUUAUAAAGUUGAAGGAUGAAACUUGAACGAACACAAUUCUGAGGUUUGUAAAGUGAAGCCAAAGACAAGUUCGAGGGGUAAUGUGGACUUCUCUCAAACUAUAUUAUUAGAGGACAAUGAGGGUCUUGAAGACAAUGAAAGCGAUCAGUUUCUGCUGGUUUUGUUUUGUUGUAGGCGAAGUUCUUAAUUAUAAUUAUCAAUGUGUUUGUUUUUCUUAAGGACGCAGUGACAUGCAAGGCGAGGGAAAUUGAAGCCAAAACAUGCAGGACGGCCAGGAGUGUGCCAUUUUUUCUAUGACAGGGGGUGGUUCUUCAAUCUUCAGGGAAUCAAGUGGUAGCAUCAGAUACUGACAUGCAUGGAAGGUAGCAGUAUAUGUAUUUGUAGCAAAUCAUCAUCGCCCAUAAAUAAAUCAUCUCUUGCCC